UCAUUUUCCUCACACUCCAAACUAACCAUCACCCUUUACUCUCCACCAACUAAGAUAUCAAAACAUUCUCUGCAAAAUCAAUCCAUCCUUCUUCAUUUUUCACAAAUUCAUUCAAUAAAUUAUCACUUCAUUUCGCAAGCAAGAGAAGUUUCAAGUGCUGAGCUAAUUCAAGCCUCCACCAAAUUUCAAGCAAACCAACCAUCAGCAUACCUUCAAAAGGCUUUGUGGACCAAGGGGAUUAGCGUUGCUUUCCCAAGACGAGUUUACGUGUUUAUGAUCUUCAGACUUUGCCUAUCCAGGUGAGCUUACUUUCCAAAUGUAUAAAGUAUGAUUGAGUUAUUAAGCUAUAAAUGUUUCAAUGAAUUGCAAACUGUUUAUUUAAUGAAAUGCAAAUUAUUUAUCCAAUAAAAUGUUAUGUGCACUCUGCUCUGUUUAAGGCUCGCAAAGUUAAUCAAUUGAGGUUCUCUUAUAACCUAACACGUUGUUUGAGAAUUGUGUGCACUUGUUAGCUGACUCGGUGGGUUGAUCUCCAUCGGGCACUAACCAGAUGCGUUAUAAGGGUGCUUGCUGGAUGUGUUCCGGAGCAUGUAAAGUAAGGCCUGCCAGGGUAGCGUCCCGAGGUCAAAUGAAACUUGACUGGGUUACGCCCUCAGUUCAAGUAAAUGGGAGAAAUGGAUUCAACAAUGGCUAAAAGGUCCGGGAUCACAGCGAGUAACAGAAAGGGUUGGUUGGCUGGCCAGUGCUGACGGGACGGAGCUGAGGCUAAGGCUCAAAAUUCUAUUAAGACUUCGUUGUAGUACUAGCUUUUAAUUGUCUUCUGUUUUCUCAACUUAAUACUUUCAUGUUUUUUUUUUUAUCAUGCAAAGUAAUUUUUUUAUAUAUAAAUUCAAGGUACCAGAGGUACCGUACGAAACAAAGGAAAACCAAAUAAAGAAAAGAACAACAAAUGAGUAGAAAACUCAAAACCAAAGAGAGAGCAAAACAACAAAAGGGCAGAAAGCUCACAGCCUCAGAAGCAGAUCAAAAGCGAAGCAUCCUAAGCAUUAAGUCUGGCCACGGCAAUCCAACUUCGAAACUCACUAACCGAAGUCGGCAGCUUGAAUGCCAUUCUCCACCCCCACAAUCUGGAUUUGAUCUCGGUAAUACUUUCAUGUUAAAUUUCAAAUGAUAUCCCUGAUCGAGUUUAGACUCUUAACUCCUAGAUUUAUGCUAAUGAAUGUCGGUUGUCAGAAGCAUGAAACAAAACUUGUGAUCCAAAGGGGACUAGCCCGACUUGUUAUCUUAUUAUUCGGGUUCAAUAAGGAUUUUUCCUUAUGUUAUUUCUAUAAAACGGUU